GAGGAUAUAGCUCAGUGGUAGAGCGUGUGCUUAGCAUGCACGAGGUCCUGAGUCCAAUCCUCAGUACCUCCA
rnacentral:tRNA from 1 species